GUCCACGCUGUAAACGAUGAAACUAGAUGUUGGGCAGCUUGACUGUUUAGUAUCGAAGCUAACGCGAUAAGUUUUCCGCCUGGGGAGUACGGUCGCAAGAUUAAAACUCAAAGGAAUUGACGGGGGCCCGCACAAGCGGUGGAGCAUGUGGUUUAAUUCGAUGCAACGCGAAGAACCUUACCUACCCUUGACAUCCAAAGAAUUUUGCAGAGAUGCGGAAGUGCCGAAAGGAACUUUGAGACAGGUGCUGCAUGGCUGUCGU
rnacentral:rRNA from 1 species